GUGGGGAAUAUUGGGCAAUGGGGGAAACCCUGACCCAGCAACGCCGCGUGAAGGAAGAAGGCUUUCGGGUUGUAAACUUCUUUUACCAGGGACGAAAAAAAUGACGGUACCUGGAGAAUAAGCCACGGCUAACUACGUGCCAGCAGCCGCGGUAAUACGUAGGUGGCAAGCGUUGUCCGGAUUUACUGGGUGUAAAGGGCGCGUAGGCGGGAGAGCAAGUCAGGAGUGAAAUCUAUGGGCUUAACCCAUAAAUUGCUUUUGAAACUGUUUUUCUUGAGUGAUGGAGAGGCAAGCGGAAUUCCUAGUGUAGCGGUGAAAUGCGUAGAUAUUAGGAGGAACACCAGUGGCGAAGGCGGCUUGCUGGACAUUAACUGACGCUGAUGCGCGAAAGCGUGGGGAGCAAACAGGAUUAGAUACCCCAGUAGUCC
rnacentral:rRNA from 1 species